UGGAAAAUAGUGACAAUUUUUUUUUACCAGAAACAUAUAAUAAAAACGAAGCAGCAAAACAGCAAAACAGUGAAAAGGAAUUGAAAGCCAUUAGUCAAGAAAGACGUUGCUGACAGUUAAUGAAAGCGUAAGUUGAUAUAUAAGCCUUAACCUAAUCGUCACAGACAGUUGUUGAAUAGUCGAACAACACGUAUCCUGACAUUGGAUCAUUGAAUGAAGAGUUUGAAAUAUUUCAAUAUACCUAGGCCGAUUUAUUAUAAUUAUUUACUUGCAAAAUAAAUGCAUAAAUGCUUGUUAUACAUGUUGAAUUGUACUUUGUAUAUCAAACACCGAAAUGAGUAUCGUACGAUUCGUCACGUCAACGCGCCUUGUUUUGAUUGCGAACAGCUGACAGCGAAGUGUCGACAUUUUCAUAUGAUGCAUGGCUUGCAAAACUUCGAUAGUGGAAAAUGCAUCUCAACUAUCGUUUGGGAGAUUAUUAAGCCUAAAACAGACUCUUGUUACAACAUGGCGGACACAUGGCUUUUACCUGUUGAUUCUUGUGGUUUCAGCUCUUGAGGUUAACCUCUCACCCCUACCCACAUGCAUAUUCCUUGUGUUCAACAGACUUUUUACCAGUACAUGUAAUUCAUAUUAAAUCGGAUAAUGCAUGAACAAAAAUGAAACUUUAAGAAAGCAUCAUGCCUUGUUAGGUUUUUGUUGAUAAGAAAUUUAUUAAUGACAAACAAAGUUAAAGCUGUUAAAGGACAUUUACAUUUUUUACAGUAGUUGUGAAGUUUUGUUUUUCAAUAAAAGUCUGCAAUCAUG